GAUGAACGCUAGCGGGAGGCCUAACACAUGCAAGCCGAGCGGUAUUUGUCUUUCGGGACAGAGAGAGCGGGGUACGGGUGGGGAACACGUGUGGAACUUGCCUUGAUCUUGGGGAUAGGCUUUCGAAAGCGAGAUUAAUACCCCAUAAUAUAAUGAAUGGCAUCUUUUAUUAUUGUAAACUCCGGCGGAUAGAAAUGGGCACGCGCAAGAUUAGAGAGUUGGUGAGGUAACGGCUCACCCAGUCGAUGAUCUUUAGGGGGCCUGAGAGGGUGAUCCCCCACACUGGUACUGAGACACGGACCAGACUCCUACGGGAGGCAGCAGGGAGGAAUAUUGGACAAUGGGUGAGCGCCUGAUCCAGCCAUCCCGCGUGAAGGACGACGGCCCUAUGGGUUGUAAACUUCUUUUGUACAGGGAUAAACCUACUCUCGUGAGAGUAGCUGAAGGUACUGUACGAAUAAGCACCGGCUAACUCCGUGCCAGCAGCCGCAGUAA
rnacentral:rRNA from 1 species